rnacentral:rRNA from 1 species
ACGAACGCUGGCGGUAUGCUUAACACAUGCAAGUCGAACGAAUGCCUUUGGAGCUUGCUUCAAAGUCGUUAGUGGCAAACGGGUGAGUAACACGUGGGAAUCUACCUAUCAGUACGGAAUAACAUUUGGAAACAGAUGCUAAUACCGUAUAUUCUCCUCGGAGGAAAGAUUUAUCGCUGAUAGAUGAGCCCGCGUAAGAUUAGGUAGUUGGUAGGGUAAUGGCCUACCAAGCCGACGAUCUUUAGCUGAUCUGAGAGGAUGAUCAGCCACACUGGGACUGAGACACGGCCCAGACUCCUACGGGAGGCAGCAGUGGGGAAUAUUGGACAAUGGGCGAAAGCCUGAUCCAGCAAUACCGCGUGAAUGAUGAAGGCCUUAGGGUUGUAAAGUUCUUUUAGUUGGGAAGAUAAUGACGGUACCAACAGAAAAAGCCCCGGCUAACUCCGU